AGAGUUUGAUCAUGGCUCAGAUUGAACGCUGGCGGCAUGCCUUACACAUGCAAGUCGAACGGCAGCACGGGAGCAAUCCUGGUGGCGAGUGGCGAACGGGUGAGUAAUAUAUCGGGACGUGCCCAGUCGUGGGGGAUAACGCAGCGAAAGCUGUGCUAAUACCGCAUACGAUCUCUGGAUGAAAGCGGGGGACUCGCAAGGGCCUCGCGCGAUUGGAGCGGCCGAUAUCAGAUUAGGUAGUUGGUGGGGUAAAGGCCUACCAAGCCUGCGAUCUGUAGCUGGUCUGAGAGGACGACCAGCCACACUGGAACUGAGACACGGUCCAGACUCCUACGGGAGGCAGCAGUGGGGAAUUUUGGACAAUGGGCGCAAGCCUGAUCCAGCAAUGCCGCGUGCAGGAUGAAGGCCUUCGGGUUGUAAACUGCUUUUGUACGGAGCGAAACGGUCUGCCCUAAUACGGCGGGCUAAUGACGGUACCGUAAGAAUAAGCACCGGCUAACUACGUGCCAGCAGCCGCGGUAAUACGUAGGGUGCGAGCGUUAACCGGAAUUACUGGGCGUAAAGCGUGCGCAGGCGGUGAUAUAAGACAGAUGUGAAAUCCCCGGGCUCAACCUGGGACCUGCAUUUGUGACUGUAUCGCUAGAGUACGGUAGAGGGGGAUGGAAUUCCGCGUGUAGCAGUGAAAUGCGUAGAUAUGCGGAGGAACACCGAUGGCGAAAGCAAUCCCCUGGACCUGUACUGACGCUCAUGCACGAAAGCGUGGGGAGCAAACAGGAUUAGAUACCCUGGUAGUCCACGCCCUAAACGAUGUCAACUGGUUGUUGGGUCUUCACUGAC
rnacentral:rRNA from 1 species